rnacentral:rRNA from 1 species
GCGAUCAUAUCAGUACUAAUGCAUCGGAUUCCAUCAGAACUCCGAAGUUAAGCGUGCUUGGGCAAGGGCAGUACUAGGAUGGGUAACCCCCUGGGAAGUCCUCGUGUUGCACCU